rnacentral:rRNA from 1 species
UACGUAGGUGGCAAGCGUUGUCCGGAAUUACUGGGUGUAAAGGGAGCGUAGACGGCGAGGUAAGCCUGAAGUGGAAGCCCGCGGCCCAACCGCGGAACUGCUUUGGGAACUGUUUUGCUGGAGUAUGGGAGGGGUAAGCGGAAUUCCUGGUGUAGCGGUGAAAUGCGUAGAUAUCACACAGAACACCGAUUGCGAAGGCAUCUCACGAAUCCGCGAUUGACGCUGAUGCACGAAAGCGUGGGUAUCAAACAGG